GUGGGGGUAGCUCAGUUGGUUAGAGCACCGGAUUGUGGUUCCGGGUGUCGAGGGUUCGAGUCCCUUUACCCACCCCACA
rnacentral:tRNA from 2 species